rfam:Thermacetogenium phaeum DSM 12270, complete genome.
UAGUGGGCUGAAAAGUGCCCACCGCGGUAAUUUCCCGUUCGCCGCGAAGUCUGAGGCAGGCGGGCAGGGGUAACCCGAAACGCCAAGCUGCCUGACAAAGGUCCGCAAGGAUCGAGACGGAAGGCGGGCCGUAACGCAA